UUUGUCUAUAUCGUGAGUUUGAGUAUUUGUCUUAAAUCUAUUAAGUUCUUAAUUGCAUAUCACUUUUAGAAAGUGAAUUUUGGAACGUAUAUUUGGAUAUUGCGUGAUAUUUACUCGAGCUACUUGAGGAUGAUAUACUGGAUCAUCUCUGCUGCUCAGAAGAAACAAACUGCUUGUCUAUGCAGUGCGGGUGUAUUACAAAUGUUUGUGAAAAAGUGGUCUGUAGAUAUUUAGGAAACUGUACUGGAUCAUCUUGACUCUGAAAAAUUAAAUACAGGGUUGAAGUUCUCGUUGUAGAUUUUGACAUGGAUUGGAGGAUGAUAUACUGGAUCAUCUCUGCUGCUCAGAAGAAACAAACUGCUUGUCUAUGCAGGUUGCGGUGUAUUACAAAUGUUUGUGAAAAAAGUGGUCUGUAGAUAUUUAGGAAACUGUACUGGAUCAUCUUGACUCUGAAAAAUUAAAUACAGGGUUGAAGUUCUCGUUGUAGAUUUUGACAUGGAUUGGAGGAUGAUAUACUGGAUCAUCUCUGCUGCUCAGAAGAAACAAAUUGCUUGUCUAUGCAGUGCGGGUGCAUUACAAAUGUCUGCGAAAAAGUGGCGUCUGUAGAUAUUUAGGAAACUGUACUGGAUUAUCUUGACUCGGAAGACUUAAAUACAGGGUUGAAGUUCUCGUUGCAGAUUUUGACAUGGAUUGGAGGAUGAUGUACUGGAUCAUCAAUU